rnacentral:rRNA from 1 species
AACGAACGCUGGCGGCAUGCCUAACACAUGCAAGUCGAACGAGACCUUCGGGUCUAGUGGCGCACGGGUGCGUAACGCGUGGGAACCUGCCCUUAGGUUCGGAAUAACUCCCCGAAAGGGGUGCUAAUACCGGAUAAUGUCUUCGGACCAAAGAUUUAUCGCCUUUGGAUGGGCCCGCGUUGGAUUAGCUAGUUGGUAGGGUAAAAGCCUACCAAGGCGACGAUCCAUAGCUGGUCUGAGAGGAUGAUCAGCCACACUGGGACUGAGACACGGCCCAGACUCCUACGGGAGGCAGCAGUGGGGAAUAUUGGACAAGGGGCGAAAGCCUGAUCCAGCAAUGCCGCGGGAGUGAUGAAGGCCUUAGGGUUGUAAAGCUCUUUUACCCGGGAUGAUAAUGACAGUACCGGGAAAAUAAGCACCGGCUAACUCCGUG